rnacentral:rRNA from 1 species
UGCAAGUCGAGCGAAUGGAUUAAGAGCUUGCUCUUAUGAAGUUAGCGGCGGACGGGUGAGUAACACGUGGGUAACCUGCCCAUAAGACUGGGAUAACUCCGGGAAACCGGGGCUAAUACCGGAUAACAUUUUGAACCGCAUGGUUCGAAAUUGAAAGGCGGCUUCGGCUGUCACUUAUGGAUGGACCCGCGUCGCAUUAGCUAGUUGGUGAGGUAACGGCUCACCAAGGCAACGAUGCGUAGCCGACCUGAGAGGGUGAUCGGCCACACUGGGACUGAGACACGGCCCAGACUCCUACGGGAGGCAGCAGUAGGGAAUCUUCCGCAAUGGACGAAAGUCUGACGGAGCAACGCCGCGUGAGUGAUGAAGGCUUUCGGGUCGUAAAACUCUGUUGUUAGGGAAGAACAAGUGCUAGUUGAAUAAGCUGGCACCUUGACGGUACCUAACCAAAAAGCCACGGCUAACUACGUGCCAACAGCCCGCGGGUAAUACUUAGGUGGCAAGCGUAAUUCAGAAAUUAUUGGCCAUAAUGGGGGGG